ACAGUUUCAACUCGUUUUACCUUAAUUGUUUCACUCAAAGUCAGUACUUGCUCGCGGUUGUUUUACCUCCGUUUAAACUGGACCACAUUAAACGGCCGCCGCAAGAGAAUCGUCUUCAUUCGCCAUCGUAUCACUGAUUACGAGCAAUAGUUUUGAGGGAAAAGAGGUCGCCGCCGCUUAGCAACCGGAGGAAGAACAUAUCUCAGUUUCCUUUGAAGAGGUCAAAAAUAAGAAAUGCACCCAAACAGAUGGAGACCAAAAAAAGUAAAAAGAAAAUUCCCUCGGAUGGGUAACCACAGCAUCAAACCACAGCCCCCUGGUGAGGAAGAGGACUGGGAAAAGGAGUUAGAGGAGAUUUCACAAUGCAUUGAAGAGCAGAAACAGCCUCCUUAUGAUCCUGGAGAUGAUUUGACUACUGAAGUAAGGGAGAUGUUUCAUUGUAACAUCCAGAAGGGCCCAAGUUCAAACCAGGGACACUACAGCCCAGCAAUUCACCACAUUCAACCUGUGAAAUGGGUCUGGUUUAUUUAUGCUGUAGUGGACGACCUGUUUGCUGAUGCCGAAGAAUAAGGCUGUUGGUACCUUGUAUCUUCUUCCUUACAGAACAAAUAUUUCACAUUUGUUUAUAAUCUACUCAGCUCAGGCUAAUGUUUUAAGUAGUACUUUUGUUGUUUUUAGUAUCUGAUGUUAAUUUAUAGAAUUUUUUUUUCCGCCAGUUUAAACCAAUUUAUGUUUUAAUCUCUGUCUAAACAAUUUU